rnacentral:rRNA from 1 species
GACGAACGCUGGCGGCGUGCUUAACACAUGCAAGUCGAACGAUGAAGCCUAGCUUGCUAGGUGGAUUAGUGGCGAACGGGUGAGUAAUACGUGAGUAACCUACCUUUAACUCUGGGAUAAGCCCGGGAAACUGGGUCUAAUACCGGAUACGACCAAUCUCCGCAUGGGGUGUUGGUGGAAAGCGUUAUGUAGUGGUUAUAGAUGGGCUCACGGCCUAUCAGCUUGUUGGUGAGGUAACGGCUCACCAAGGCGACGACGGGUAGCCGGCCUGAGAGGGUGACCGGCCACACUGGGACUGAGACACGGCCCAGACUCCUACGGGAGGCAGCAGUGGGGAAUAUUGCACAAUGGGCGCAAGCCUGAUGCAGCGACGCCGCGUGAGGGAUGACGGCCUUCGGGUUGUAAACCUCUGUUAGCANGGAAGAAGAGAGAUUGACGGUACCUGCAGAGAAAGCGCCGGCUAACUACGUGCCAGCAGCCGCGGUAAUACGUANGGCGCGAGCGUUGUCCGGAAUUUAUGGGCGUAAAGAGCUUGUANGCGGUUUGUCGCGUCUGCUGUGAAGGCCGGGGCUUAACUCCGUGUAUUGCAGUGGGUACGGGCAGACUAGAGUGCAGUAGGGGAGACUGGAAUUCCUGGUGUAGCGGUGGAAUGCGCAGAUAUCAGGAGGAACACCGAUGGCGAAGGCAGGUCUCUGGGCUGUAACUGACGCUGAGAAGCGAAAGCAUGGGGAGCGAACAGGAUUAGAUACCCUGGUAGUCCAUGCCGUAAACGUUGGGCACUAGGUGUGGGGAACAUUCCACGUUUUCCGCGCCGUAGCUAACGCAUUAAGUGCCCCGCCUGGGGAGUACGGCCGCAAGGCUAAAACUCAAAGAAAUUGACGGGGGCCCGCACAAGCGGCGGAGCAUGCGGAUUAAUUCGAUGCAACGCGAAGAACCUUACCAAGGCUUGACAUAUACUGGACCGCAUCAGAGAUGGUGUUUCCCUUCGGGGCUGGUAUACAGGUGGUGCAUGGUUGUCGUCAGCUCGUGUCGUGAGAUGUUGGGUUAAGUCCCGCAACGAGCGCAACCCUCGUUCUAUGUUGCCAGCACGUAAUGGUGGGGACUCAUAGGAGACUGCCGGGGUCAACUCGGAGGAAGGUGGGGAUGACGUCAAAUCAUCAUGCCCCUUAUGUCUUGGGCUUCACGCAUGCUACAAUGGCCGGUACAGAGGGUUGCGAUACUGUGAGGUGGAGCUAAUCCCUAAAAGCCGGUCUCAGUUCGGAUUGGGGUCUGCAACUCGACCCCAUGAAGUCGGAGUCGCUAGUAAUCGCAGAUCAGCAACGCUGCGGUGAAUACGUUCCCGGGCCU